GAUCAGGGAUAUUGUGUCUGCGUAUUGAAACAGGUACGAUCAGGGAUUUUGUGUCUGCGUAUUGAAACAGGUAAGAUCAGGGAUAUUGUGUCUGCGUAUUGAAACAGGUAAGAUCAGGGAUAUUGUGUCUGCGUAUUGAAACAGGUAAGAUCAGGGAUAUUGUGUCUGCGUAUUGAAACAGGUAAGAUCAGGGAUAUUGUGUCUGCGUAUUGAAACAGGUACGAUCAGGGAUAUUGUGUCUGCGUAUUGAAACAGGUA